UGCAAGUCGAACGCGUUGGCCCAAUUGAUUGAUGGUGCUUGCACCUGAUUGAUUUUGGUCGCCAACGAGUGGCGGACGGGUGAGUAACACGUAGGUAACCUGCCCAGAAGCGGGGGACAACAUUUGGAAACAGAUGCUAAUACCGCAUAACAGCGUUGUUCGCAUGAACAACGCUUAAAAGAUGGCUUCUCGCUAUCACUUCUGGAUGGACCUGCGGUGCAUUAGCUUGUUGGUGGGGUAACGGCCUACCAAGGCGAUGAUGCAUAGCCGAGUUGAGAGACUGAUCGGCCACAAUGGGACUGAGACACGGCCCAUACUCCUACGGGAGGCAGCAGUAGGGAAUCUUCCACAAUGGGCGCAAGCCUGAUGGAGCAACACCGCGUGAGUGAAGAAGGGUUUCGGCUCGUAAAGCUCUGUUGUUAAAGAAGAACACGUAUGAGAGUAACUGUUCAUACGUUGACGGUAUUUAACCAGAAAGUCACGGCUAACUACGUGCCAGCAGCCGCGGUAAUACGUAGGUGGCAAGCGUUAUCCGGAUUUAUUGGGCGUAAAGAGAGUGCAGGCGGUUUUCUAAGUCUGAUGUGAAAGCCUUCGGCUUAACCGGAGAAGUGCAUCGGAAACUGGAUAACUUGAGUGCAGAAGAGGGUAGUGGAACUCCAUGUGUAGCGGUGGAAUGCGUAGAUAUAUGGAAGAACACCAGUGGCGAAGGCGGCUACCUGGUCUGCAACUGACGCUGAGACUCGAAAGCAUGGGUAGCGAACAGGAUUAGAUACCCUGGUAGUCCAUGCCGUAAACGAUGAGUGCUAGGUGUUGGAGGGUUUCCGCCCUUCAGUGCCGGAGCUAACGCAUUAAGCACUCCGCCUGGGGAGUACGACCGCAAGGUUGAAACUCAAAGGAAUUGACGGGGGCCCGCACAAGCGGUGGAGCAUGUGGUUUAAUUCGAAGCUACGCGAAGAACCUUACCAGGUCUUGACAUCUUGCGCCAACCCUAGAGAUAGGGCGUUUCCUUCGGGAACGCAAUGACAGGUGGUGCAUGGUCGUCGUCAGCUCGUGUCGUGAGAUGUUGGGUUAAGUCCCGCAACGAGCGCAACCCUUGUUACUAGUUGCCAGCAUUAAGUUGGGCACUCUAGUGAGACUGCCGGUGACAAACCGGAGGAAGGUGGGGACGACGUCAGAUCAUCAUGCCCCUUAUGACCUGGGCUACACACGUGCUACAAUGGACGGUACAACGAGUCGCGAACUCGCGAGGGCAAGCAAAUCUCUUAAAACCGUUCUCAGUUCGGACUGCAGGCUGCAACUCGCCUGCACGAAGUCGGAAUCGCUAGUAAUCGCGGAUCAGCAUGCCGCGGUGAAUACGUUCCCGGGCCUUGUACACACCGCCCGUCACACCAUGAGAGUUUGUAACACCCAAAGUCGGUGGGGUAACCUUUUAGGAGCCAGCCGCCUAAGGUG
rnacentral:rRNA from 2 species